GAUGCCUCCCCCUUCCUCUUCCUCAUGCCGCAUCCCUCUUCCUCUUCCUCCCUCGUGCCGCACUCCCCUUCCUCCCUCUUCAUCUGCUUUUUCCUCCAGGGAUCCCACUCCGGCAAAAGAUCGCCGCCCUGGUGGUCAGUGCCUCCUCGUCGGCGUCGGCGUCGUUUAGGGUUCCUUCAAGGUCGGGGUCGUCUAGGGUUCCAUCAAGCUCCGUCAAGUUCGUCAUCUUCAAGAAGUAUUCCAUCGGUACAGCAGAGAGAGGACAAGGGGCUCAUCAAGGCACGCGGUGCUAGGAACUUCCAUUCGACGGCCCCACUGCUUAUUCGACAUCCUAUUUCAAAACAGUCGUGGUAUGACUCAGGAAUUUUCCUUCUUCAGUAUGUUAGCAAGUACAAAGGUCUCGGAUUGGAGGGGUUCUCUAAUGAUGAUUUACAAGCUCUACGUCAAAAUUCCUUUUUGAGAUUGUAACUUGCAAGGACAAUGAAAUUCAGCUGCCCUGAGUAACUUCUUUCCUGCAGAGACAUGGUCUCAUUAAUAUUGUCACCUUCAAGGGAAGUUGCACUGCAAGAUUCAACUCAAAGGAAUACUUCCAUGGGAAAAAUGUUUCCUUAUCGAUAGAGCUAUCUUUUUUUCUCUUGCUGGUCUAGUGAUAGUUUCUUCCAAGACCUUCAGCUGUAAACAAUGUCUGAAAACAGCUGAAGCAGUUUUAUAAACGAGCAGUAAGACAUGUACAUUUUUUUGUCUUUCAUGACGCCUUGGUGAUACUAUCAUCACUCAAUUUCAUCAAGCUGUAAGCUUACCACUUUUAUGACAGUUUUAGAAUUACCACUUUGUAACAAAUGUAAAAUGAAAUUUCAUGUUUUUUUUAUAAUUAAAAACUAGUUGAAUCAAUAGGAACAGCACCUGGGUUCAGAAAUAGGAAUCGAUUUCUUUGGGAAACAGUAGAAACAGCACCUGGGUUCAGAAAUAGAAACCGAUUUCUUUGGGAAACAGUAAAAACAGUUGUUUAGUUUAUAAAAGGAAAACAGCAGGUACGGCAAAACAGUGGAACAAAUUUUUAAAACAGCGAAACAGCAGGUACAGCGAAACAGUGGAACAGCUUCACGAAGUAGGAACAGCGAAACGGUAGAAACAGUUCAAACUCAGGGAAACGCGCGCCUCGCGGCCGACAAAGCCCGCCAAUCA
rnacentral:rRNA from 1 species